GGUUAAUUCUCGCCCAUCAUCUUCCCUGUGUUGAUGAUCUGGGCGGAUCUGGCUUUCUCAGUUCUCACGAGCUGGGUUUGCUGAAGUACAGAGGUUAAUGCAUGGACCCGUUAAGGGCUGCAGCUGGUUAGGCAGUGAUGCUAUCGAUUAGCUGUUGGUCUGGGAACUGCGUUUGACCCUCCACAAGGAAACUUAAUUAUUUCUUGUCGGAGGACGUCGGAGAAAAGGAUUGGGAGAAUGAGGAUUUUUAUUCUGAAAAUUGCGAGGGGGGGGGGAAAGCCCUUCUUACUAGGGGGGGUUGCCUGGCGGGGGGGUUUCGGUGAGGAAAAAGACUCAACCGGGCUAAAAGACGCGAGGGCCCCGGGGCGGCGGGAAAAAUUAAAAAAGGGAAAUUGGGCUUAAAGAAAGGAAAAAAAGAGAGAACAAAGGUUGUGGAAGCGCUUAAAAAGUUGGAGGGCGCGUGAGCCGAUACCAAGUGAUGUUAUAAAAUAGUAUUAUGUGGGGGGAGGACGGGCGGGGGUAAAUUUAUAGUGGUGUAGGGGGGGGGUAAUAUAUCUUCGCCCCUUUUGUGACGCCUAGAAGAGGAGAGCUGAUUACUAGGGGGACGAGCCAUCUCGCUGGGGAUGAAUACCAGGUCCCCUGUCCCGUUAGACAACCUCCGCCCCCUCCUUCCUCCCCCAUCCCGGGACGGGGGUGGGUGAGCUGGGGGAUACAAAAAGG
rnacentral:misc_RNA from 1 species